UACAAAAUGGGUUUAAAGGGUGUAGGAUCCAUUUUCAUUCUCUUCCUUCAUCUCAUUUUUGUCUCUACUCUUGUCUCUGCCAAAUCAGCUCCUAGGAGGCCACCACCACCACCACAAGUGACAUGUUCUUCCACACCACCACCUGUGGUCGCUCCUUCAACACCCCCUUCCACACCACCAAUUACGGUAGCUCCUUCGACAUCACCAGUUGCGGUUGAUCCAACGACACUACCACCUUCAACACCUCCAUCCACACCACCUACUUCUACACCACCAAAUGUGGUAGCUCCCUCCACACCACCUCCUUCGACACCUCCUUUCACUACACCACCUACGGUCGCUCCUUCCACACCACCACUUGUUCAUGCUCCAUCAACACCACCGCCUUCAACACCUCCUUCCACGCCACCAACCGCGAUAGCUCCUUCGACACCACAAGUUGUGAUUGAUCCUACAACACUACCACCUUCAACAACUCAUUCCACACCACCAUCUGUUGAUGCUCCUUCAUCACCCCCUUCUACACCACCAACUACGGUAGCUCCUUCGACACCACCAUCUUUGGUUGAUCCUACGACACCACCACCUUCAACACCUCCUUCAACACCACCACCCGUUCAUGAUCCUUCAACACCCCCUUCCACACCACCAAUUGCGGUAGCUCCUUCGACACCACCAUCCGUGGUUAAUCCUACGAUACCACCACCUUCAACACCUCCUACCACACCACCACCAAAUCCUAGGACACCUCCUACAAAUCCUAGGACACCUCCUACAAAUCCUAGGACACCUCCUACCACACCACCACCAAAUCCUAGGACACCUCCUACCACACCACCAACAAAUCCUAGGACACCUCCGAAAAAUCCUAUGACACCUCCUACCAUACCACCACCAAAUCCUAGGACACCUCCUACCACACUACCACCAAAUCCUAGGACACCUCCUACCACACCACCAGCAAACCCUAGGACACCUCCUACCAGACCACCGACAAACCCCAGAACACCUCCUACCACAUCACCACCAAAUCCUAGGACACCUCCGACAAAUCCUAUGACACCUCCUACCACACCACCAGCAAACCCUAGGACACCUCCUACCACACCACCGACAAACCCGAGGACACCUCCUACCACACCACCGACAAAUCCCAGGACACCUCCUACCACACCACCACCAAAUCCUAGGACACCUCCGACAAAUCCUAUGAAACCUCCUACCACACCACCACCAAAUCCUAUGACACCUCCUUCGACACCACCACCAAAUCCUAGGACACCUCCUACCACACCAUCACCAAAUCCUAGGACACCUCCUACAAAUCCUACCACACCACCAACAAACCCUAGGACACCUCCUACCACACCACCGACAAAUCCUAGGACACCUCCUACCAUACCACCACCAAUUCCUAGGACACCUCCUACCACACCACCACCAAAUCCUAGGACACCACCGACAAAUCCUAGGACACCUCCUACCACACCACCACCAAAUCCUAGGACACCUCCUUCGACACCACCACCAAUUCCUAGGACACCUCCUUUUACACCACCACCAAUUCCUAGGACUCCUCCUACUACACCACCAUCAAUUCCAACAACACCGCCGCGUAAUUGUCCACUUUUAAGCUUGAAUGUUUGUGCCAACCUAUUGAAUAAAUUCGUGAUUAACCCAGGAUCCAAUCCUU
rnacentral:lncRNA from 1 species